rnacentral:misc_RNA from 1 species
GAAAUGCGAUAAGUAAUGUGAAUUGCAGAAUUCAGUGAAUCAUCGAAUCUUUGAACGCAUCUUGCGCUCCUUGGUAUUCCUUGGAGCAUGCCUGUUUGAGUAUCAUGAAAUCUUCAAAGUAAAUCUUUUGUUAACUCAAUUGGUUUCUACUUUGGUAUUGGAGGUCUUUGCAGCUUCACACCUGCUCCUCUUUGUUCAUUAGCUGGAUCUCAGUGUUAUGCUUGGUUCCACUCGGCGUGAUAAGUUAUCUAUCGCUGAGGACACUGUAAAAGGUGGCCAAGGUAAAUGCAGAUGAACCGCUUCUAAUAGUCCAUUGACUUGGACAAUACUUUUAUGAUCUGAUCUCAAAUCAGGUAUGACUACCCGCUGAACUUAAGC